rnacentral:lncRNA from 1 species
GGAGGAGCUCAUAAAGCCAACCGUUAACUUUCAGAAGUUGAAUUCAUUUUCAUCAGGGAUACGCCCCCUGUAGGUUUUCUAUGCUCCGCUAGAUGGCGCUAUAUCUAAGAACUAUAAGCAGGCAUCACUAAAGAAGUUGGGAGACUAAGAGAAAUAAGGAAGGCGCUGUGGAGAGUGUGGAGUGGCGAUAAUUGGAUACAGUGUAUUCAUACUUGAGGCUCUCAAGGAAUAGGCAAAAAUAUACUUGCUUAUAAAAUGUUAAAACCAGGCUGGAGAGGUGGCUCAGUGGUUAAGAACAUCAACUGCCCUCUUCUGGAGGUGCUGAGUUCAAUUCCCAGCAACCACAUGGUGACUCACAACUAUCUUUAAUGGAUCUGAUGCCCUCUUCUGGUGGGCAUCUUUUUUAAAAAUGUUAAAAUCUGUUCUAACUUACAAACAGCAAACCACUAGCCUAUGGAUAUAGUGGCCAACCCACGAACUGAACCAUAAAAGAAGCACGGAAGAAGACCAUGACUGUUAUCAGACACAUGAGUCAGAGAAAUGAGCGCCUACAUGCACUUUUGUAGGAAGUUACUUUAUGGUAAAAAUCUACUAAAACAAAGGCAUAACCAAAAUUAUGGAAGAGGCAGAACCCAGGGGGAAGAAAGUCCUCACUCACCCAAGAAGUGAGGAGAAGCCCUCAGUGAGUGUGAGCAACGGCAAGCACCAAACCAAGAGACUGGAGAACAAGAGAAAGCUCUACAGGCAAAUAUUUGUGCUGUUGAAUUAUUUAAACGGAGUGUGUGUCAUGCAUUCGUCCGGGUCCUUAGAAGUUCUCCAUGCUUGCUCCAAUGCUCUGCUGACGCCACACUGAAAUUCUCAGUCAUUAAUGAACAAGUGUCCAGCAUGUACGCUUCAACAAGGUCCGUGCAGCAGAUUACACAGCCAGCCUGCUUUAAGUUCGGCUUCCUAACUGGACUGGAAGCUCUCUCUCUCUCUCUCUCUCUCUCUCUCUCUCUCUCUCUCUCUCUCUCUCAAAGCAAGGAUGAAUCAUUUCUUACAUUUGUACUUCUGUGGACUCACCGAGGACCCUUAGUAAAUGAUGGCUUGCCUAACUGAUACAUACAUAUAUUUUACUUAUGAGGGUUAUAAUUUGGCACUGUGGAAUCCUAAAAUAUAAAAGCUAUGAUUUGUAGCCUGCCUGGGGCCACUCUAAUAGCAUCUAUAAAACAUCUUGACUCUCUUCGAUGCCUGAAAUUCCAUAAUUACAGUUUUAUUCCUUUAUUUAUUUAUGUAUUUCCUUCUCUGCUAAACCUUCUGGGAAAGGUGGACCAUUAAGCUUUGAUACUAAAUGUUAAUGAACAUGAAUUUGUCAAAUCUAUUUGGUACAGUCAGAAUCAACCCCUUUCCAAAAGCAAGCAAAAACCGUUCCAUGAUGACCCUGAACACACAACACACAGCAAUGUCAUUAUUCUAGAAAAUAUUGCUAAGACAUAUGUUAUCAAUAAAUCCAGCAGCUUUCAGAGCCUUGGGUUAUUU